rnacentral:tRNA from 1 species
GGGGAUGUAGCUCAGGUGGGAGAGCGCCGCUUUUGCAAGGCGGAGGUCGGCAGUUCGAAUCUGCUCAUCUCCACCA